AAAGGUGGUUGUGCCCGAAAGGGAGCCGUAACACAGGUGCUGCAUGGCUGUCGCCAUUCUCGUGUCGUGAGAUGUUGGGUUAAGUCCCGCAACGAGCGCAACCCUUGCCGUUAAUUGCCAUCAUUUAGUUGGGCACUUUAACGGGACUGCCGGUGACAAACCGGAGGAAGGUGGGGAUGACGUCAAGUCCUCAUGGCCCUUAUGGGUAGGGCUUCACACGUCAUACAAUGGUCGGUACAGAGGGUAGCCAACCCGCGAGGGGGAGCCAAUCUCAGAAAGCCGAUCGUAGUCCGGAUCGGAGUCUGCAACUCGAC
rnacentral:rRNA from 1 species